GCCGGGCAUGGUGGCUCAUGCCUGUAAUCCCAGCACUUUGGGAGGCCGAGGUGGGCGGAUCACCUGAGGUCAGGAGUUCGAGACCAGCCUGACCAACAUGGAGAAACCCAUCUCUA
rnacentral:SRP_RNA from 1 species